rnacentral:lncRNA from 1 species
GUUUGAAGGCCCCUGGGACAAUGAGGAUUGCAUUUCAGAGUAGCAGAAAUACAAGGCCACCCUCUCUUUGUGUAUCCAAUCUUACUCUUCUCCUAAAUUUUUAUCAAACUAUAGGAUUUAUUUUGCUGAUUUUAGUUUUUGCGAUUUGAGUUUUUAUCCCUUGCUUAUUUUUUAUUUUUUUGCAGAGGUAUUACUUUUCCUUUGACUAGAAAUUUUAGUGUUUUUAAAGUAUAAUGUUAUCAAAUUCUAUUUUUCUAAUUUUCUGAUUUUGGCCUUUUGCAGGGAGUGCUAAGAUACUGAAUUUUUGGGAUUUUUUUAUCUUUGCAUGAUUUUUGGUCUUUGAAAUGGGUAUGUGUUGUUUUUAACAUUUUGGUUCUCAAAUGUUCCGUUCUUUGAUUUCUGUUUUCUACCUCCUUCUAGGUUGCUUCGUGAUUUUCAUUUUCCAUUGUUGGCUUAUGGAAUUUAUAAAAAUGGUUGUAGUUUUGUGACCAAAUCCUAGUAAGAGUGUGCCAAAACAUAGAUUAGCAUGCAGUGAACAUACAUUGAAUUAGAACAAAAUUUAAUAUAUAAGUGAAGGCAUGUGCAGUGAACAGACAUUGAAUUUAAAAUUGAUAGGGUAGUUAAGCUUCUACCUUAGUUAUUCUUUGUCACUCACUUUUGGAAUUUAAUUCAUUCAUUUCAAAGUCACUCAUGUGCUCUGUCUUACUCUAUUCACUCAUUUUUAGUAUGCACCAUUGAUUUUUUUUGUCAUAUAUUAUUCACUCAUCUACUACACUAAUGUUGAGAUUUGGGUAUCAUUUGUUUUCUCAUAUGAAAUUCACAAGAUAGCUUCUCCAUCCUCGUUCCUCUGCUUUUGUAAUAAUGUGUUUUAGGUUGCAGAUUUCAAAGUGGAUGAAUCAGAAGGGGAUAUGCAUAUUUUCGCCGGUUGAGCAUGUCGUGCAGCUGGAUUUGAUUGGGAAGGCAGAAUUUUGCACAAAUUGCUAUCAAAUAAAACCAGUUUGAGCCUGUGGGUCAAAUCCUAUUGGACAUUGUUGCAUCAUGGAACAUGUGAUUGUUGGGAAGUUUAAGCUAGGGAGGAAGAUUGGGAGUGGGUCUUUCGAAGAACUCUAUUUAGGUAUGGUAAUCAGUGUUUGAUAUCCUUUUUUCCUUAGAAAAUUAUUCAUUGUGUUAAUUUAAUGUGUUUUGUAAUGAAAUUGCUCUUCUAGUGUUAGGUGUAAAUGUACAUGGUGGGGAGGAGGUCGCUGUUAAGCUGGUAUGGGAUCGAUCCUCAAAUCUUAGAUUCAAUUCUGAUGUUUGGUUUAUGGCUAAAUAUUUGCAAGCAUUGUAUAGUUUUGUGCCUGAUUGUAAAUGGGCAGCUUCAUUAAUGUACUAGGAUAUGUUGAGUGUGAGCUUCUGGUAAUUCAUUAUGAUUUCAUGUGUGCUUCCAUAUAUAUUGAAAUUGUCCAGUUUGCUCAUGGAUGUUUCUGUAUGAUUUUGCAUGUCUCCCUUGAUAAAAGCUUGAGCAAAAUAUGCUUAUGAAAUCGAUAUGUGGUUUAGCUUUAUAAAUGUGCCUGCAUCUGUACUGCUUAUUUGCUACCCAUAUAAACAUAUAACUUUAUAUGAGAUUGCCCCCCAUUUGAAAAUGAGUGUUUUUAUGCGAUGUUUAUAUGUGUAGGCACUGGAAUUAGUGUCUUUUGUUUUUAUUUUGAUCUCAGCUGCUCAAAACUGAAUUUUUUUGUUGGUGUGAAUAUAUAUGUUAACAUAUAAUAUCAGCAUUUGGAGUGAAUCAAAUUCAUUUUAAAUUUUCUUAAAUUUAUUGAUUAUCAGAUGACAUAGUUAACAACUUCUGUGAUUUUAAAACACUUGGAGGUGAGAUUUACAUAAUUAAAUAGUCAAUUGAAAAAUUGAAAUGAGAUGUUAGUUUUACCUGACUAAUUUCUUUGUUGGGUUUAUUACUGCUCAAUGUUAAAACCCAAAAAUGGUUUUUUGGGCAAGUGGUGAUUGGCCCGCCUGGGUUAGGAAAGACCAUUUACUGCAAUAGCAUGUCUGAGUAUAUCUAGCUCAUCCGAAGGUAAAAAAUUUCACUCUGAAUUCUGGGUUUUCAAGUUUUUCCAUGGCUUCAAUUUUGGUUUUUGAAUACAUCUGAAAUAUUUACAGUGGCAAUUUGUUGUUUUGGUGUGCAGGAAAGUUUUUGUGGUAAAUUUGGAUCAUGCAGCCGAUGCAUUGCCGUAUCCUUUUCAGGGUUUUAUUUUUUUCAUGUUUAUUGUUCGUAAUUUGUAGUGUUGCACUGCAUUCCAAUAUCGAAUAUUGAGGGUAAUAAACUAGAGCUACUGGUUCACCUUUCAUUUGAUCUUCUACUUAUUUCGAUUGAAUUCCAAGAAUUUUUUUUAUUUGCUUAGUUUAAUUUGUUGUUGUUCAAUUGUUAUGAAAAUCUGUGAAUGUGUAUGAAUUAUUGGUUAUGAUUUUUGUUGAACAAUGUGAAGUUGCUUGGUGUUUUAAGUUCUUGAUCCAAAGAAAGUUGCGUUAUUUCGUAAUGACAUUGCCGUUUGUAGUGGUUGUUUGGAUUACUGUGUCAUUUUAUUUAUGCAACACUUAUAUGAUACCUUUCUUAUUGGCUGUAUGUGAAUCAUCAAUAUCUUAUAGAUUAAUAUGCUUACCAUUUCGUAUACAUAUGUUUUUUAUUCAUGUUAAAACUUUUUGUAUUAUUUUUGUGUUUGUCAUUGGCAGGUGAAUUUGUAAACAUUCAUAAUUAUCCAUAGGACCUUGAGGGAGUAUGCAAUUAGUAUUCAUAUAGAUGGUUAUUUGUGUUAACGAUGAAAGCAUCUGGUUUAGGUUUGUCCUCAAAAUUUAUGCUUAGUUGUAAUAAUGCUUUUGCUUAGUUGUUCAUGUAAAAAUGGAACAAUUUUUUUUUGUACAUAUAUCAUUUUAUAUUUGUUUAAGUUUGAACUUAUGCUUAUUAACUUGGUUAUUGGUAAGGCUCUUCUAGAGGCAGUGUUGGCGUGUAGAUGAUGUGGAAGUAGGCGAUGAGGAGGAAAUGACAAAGGUGGAGGACCAAAAGGUCUUAUAGAAGAAAAAGAAGCUCAGAAGUCUGAUACACCAAACAACUCCAUCUGAAAGCGGAAGAAUCCAAAGGUAAACCCCUUCAAACUCUUCGAUUAUGGUGUUCUUUAGUCGAUUGCAAGACUAGAACUUGAAAAACUAACACAUGCAUAUAAUUUUUUUGUGAAGGAACUGCGGUCCAGUGGCUGUAUAAAACAAAAGGACAACGCAUGCUCUCUCCCUCACAGUAGCUCCGUGUUUCUCUCGCCCCAAACCUAAUGGCUUCAUCCCAAUUCAGAGCCUGCUCAGAUCGGGACUUCUUGGAGAUUCAGAGCUCCAGGUGAGAUAAUUUUCCCCAAAUUGUAUUCAAUCUAUGUUGCUUCAUUUCAUUUUCCAUUUUAAUUUGGAAUUGUUGAUAUUUUAGGCGGGUAUUGCAUGUAUAACCACAACAAUUUUUGUGUUGGAUUGGGGUCAAAUUGUCCAGCUUUAUUAGCUAUUUGGUCGACUUUGUAUUUGUAAUCUGAAUAAUAUGAAUUAGGGUUUUUCUGUUAGUGUCCAAUUGGUCAAGAAAGGAUGCUUCUGUUUUGUUAUCAUGCAUAUUUAAGCUGUAAACAUCUGAAAAACUGCUUAAUUGAAGUGAUAUUUCCAGUUUUUGAGCUCAGUUUCAGGUUUUGACCUUUGAAUUUGUUUACAUGUAUCCCAACUGAAGCUAUAUACAUCGUAGUUUAAGGGGAUUUUGCUCAAAAUCUGGAGAGCUCUCUCGCUUUGCUCUCUAUGUAAACCCGAGAGAAAUUCCAUGGAAACAUCACGCCUACAAACGAAGUUGCAGGCCUACACACAAGCAAACUCCAUCUGAAAGCCAAAGAAUCCAAAGGUAAAUCCCUUCAGCUUUCUUAGCUAUUUGGUCGACUUUGUAUUUGUAAUUUGAAUAAUAUGAAUUAGGGUUUUUCUGUUAGUGUCCAAUUAGUGAAGAAAUGAUGCUUCUUUUUGUUAUCAUGCAUAUUUAAGCUGUAAAUAUAUGAAAAGCUGCUUAAUUGAAGUGAGAUUUCCAGUUUUUGAGCUCAAUUUCAUUUCUUAUAGACAAUUUUUUUUCAAGUUUUCUGGGUUUCUUUUUGCUGCUUCUCUGUUAAAUUACUCAUCUGGAAGUUAAAUUUUGUUCAAAUACCAAGUAUUGUUCUUCAAUUAAAGAUUUCUGGGUUUUUUUAUUGCUUCUUUUCUAUUAAAUUACUUAUCUGGAAGUUAAUUUUGUUCAAAAACUUACUGUUCUUCAAUUAAUCUUACAAGAAAGCAUAUGAGAACGUGGCACAUUAGGUGUUCGAUGAAAUGUGUCUGAGAAUCUGUCAGUAUGAUAUAUUAUAAUUCUGAAUCUCCUCUUCAGCUCUAGCCACAGGUGCGCAAAGGCGACAUGGUCCUGGUCGACAGUUCGGAGCUCUGGCGAUUCUGACUGAGAAAGAGGUCAUUAACAACAAGGUAAUGGAAUUCAAUGUUUUGUGUUUGGAGAUUUUUUUUUUUCCCACUUUUUGAGGGACUGAUGGACAGGGAGAGAGAGAGAGGGCAGAGAGCAUGCUGUGCGUUUUUGGGGGUUAACGGGUUACCCCACGGGGCUGAUGAGCAGAGGAUGUCCGAGGGAGGUAUGGGAGAGGAGGGUUUUCAGUUUUGUCAUCUAAUUCAACAGGUAAAACAUUGUUCAGAAAUCAUUGUUUAUUGUUUGUUUCCCAUUUGCUUUGUUAAAACUAUGAUUGACAAUUUUUUGUUUCGACAAAAUUGUAAUGGAUGUUUAUAGCUUGUUUAGUUGGGUGUUACGAAGAUAAGUCUGUUUGGUGCACUGUUUUGUACACUGUUAGAGUAAGGUUGUGUCUUUUAAACUUGGGGUGUUGCACUGUGCUAAUUUCUGUUUUCUUCAUGCUUUGCUGUUGUUUCCUUCUCAAAAGUCGAAUUCAGGUUCCUUUUCUGCUUUUCAUCCUUUGAAUAUCCCUCUGUUGCUAGGUUGUUUCUCCAUGUUUUGUUGAUUCUCUAUUUGUGUGAUAAGGGUGUUAGAAGGCUGUUUUAUUUAUUGUUUUGCUCCUCUGUUGCUAGGUAGUAUAAUUUUGAAACAAGUUUCUUCUCUAUGUGUUCAAAUGCAUCAUUGUUUUUCGUUCUUUAGUUUCUUUUUCAUCAUUAGCUAUCUUAUGAUCAUUGAUAGUUUAAUACCACUUGGGAAUUCACAUGCCACAACAAUAUUAAUUUCCAAGCUCCCCUGUUUGCAGCUUUAGCACGGUAAAACUUUAGUUUGAUCUAGGGAUGGUUUGGGAGUGAGGUGCUUAAAAAAAAGCACCCAUGAAAAAAAGCUGUGAGGGUUUUAGGUGUUUGGUAAACUGAAAAAAAAAAGGCUUAUUUUGGAAGCUGCUGUGAGAAUAAGCUGAAAUCAAAGGAAAAAGCUGAAGCUGCUAUUUGCAGCUUUGGAAAACUGGCUUUUUUUUCAAAGCACACGGAGCUACAGUGCUCCUUUAAUGAAAAGACCCAUUAUCAGACUGCUUUUUUUCCAAAAACACUUUUACAAAAAAGUUUACCAAACACUCUGCUGAUUUAUUUCACAGCCGCUUAUUUUCACAACACAGCCGCUUAUUCUCAUAGCAACUUUUUUCCAAAGCACAGCAAUACCAAACCAGCCCUUAGUAUUGUGCUUUGCAAUGAACUUUGAGUGUUGAUAUAGGUGCAGGCAAGUAGUCAAACCACGUACAAAGUUUGGUGUUCACGUUCUUUGAUUGUAUUCCUAAAUUUGUGUUGGAUAUGCAAUUAUAUGUUUCAAUAUUUUUCUGGAAAAUGUUGAGAUAAUUGGAAAAAAAAUAAAAAAUUGGCUGGUGCUGAAUGAUGUCCAUGCCAUAGUUUUUAACAAAUUUCAAUUAGUUUUAAACAAGCAAGAAGCCACCUUUCAAGUACUGAAGCAUAUGUAAGAGAAUAUGUAAAACUGAAAACCAUUUAUAAUUAAAAAAAAAGGGACGGAUUUACGGGCCACAUGAGAUUUUGACAUUUUGACUGAUGAAAUCGAGGAUCUGCAGCAAUGGCGCUCAAAUCCCCACUCCUCCCUCUCCCUUUCUCUCGCUCCCAAACUUCUUUAUUCCAAGUUGAAAAUAUGUUGUGAAUAUGUGUGAGUAGAGUUGUAAAACAGAGAGAGAAAAUGAACUUUAAACAAAUGAAGGAAACAAAAUUUGAGCAAAAACUUCCAAUCUUUAAAAAUGUGAGGCUUUUCAGUAGGUGUGUUUUGUAAAAAGGUUUUAAUCUUUCUUAGAAAUGUAGCUUUCUCAGUUAUGCAAUGCUUUUAAUAGGUGUAUUUUUAUCUUUCCUGAUUGCUGAUUUAAUUUGGGUUUUGUUAAUAGUUUAAUUUGGAGUUUAAUUGAAGGUUUAAUUCAGGUUUGUAGUUGGGGAUUAAUUGAGGGUUUUACUUUACUUAGCUUAAAUUGCAGAAUGUGGCUUUAAAUUUGAAAGUGUCUAGGUUGCUAACAGAUCUGCUUUCUUUGCAGAUUACAGAAAUUUGGAUCGUUUGAGGAAGAAGUUGGUUCCAUGCUGUUUUGAUGUAUAUAAUUAUAUGCCAUCAUUUUUGUUCAAAGCCUACUUAGCUAUCCACCUUUUUUAUUUAUAUUUGUGAAGCUUUCAUGGUUAGAUUUUAAAUAUAUAAAUUCAAUUUUUGUCAUUUAAGCUUAUAUUGGAACUAAGUUUCUUUCUAUUUAGUGUGUGUAUCAGUAUUUGUCCAUUUAUGUCAGGGUUGAGAUGACUAGGCAUCCAUUUGGUCGUUUUACGUUAGAAUGGAAAUGGGCAAUAGAUUAGGUUGCAAGAUAAAUUUCUAAAGUUCUACUAGCUUAGGUACAAAUUAUUUUUCAGAAAUCAAACAUGCAAAAUUUGUAUGCAUGUUUUGGAAUUGGUUGUAGGAAGUGUGCUUCCAAGUCUUAACAAUAAUGGAGACUAUGAAAUAAGGGUAACCAAAUAGGGGUAACUAUAUAUUUCAAAAAUGCAAAUUUUACACACACACACACACACAUAUUCUGUCAAGAAUCAGUUUUGAUUGGCACAGAUGAAGAUGAACAAUAAGAGGGUUUUCUAUUCAAAUUUACUUUUUGUAAUUUUAGGGGUUUUGAUCAUACAUGUGUAUUUCAUUUGGUUUGUUUUCAGUUUCAGAAGACUCUGGUUUUUUUGGGCCUUUUCUUUGCAGCGUAGAAAGCCCUCUGUGCUCAAGGUAAACAAUUUCAACUUUUUACUUCUAAAGCGUUGCUCUUAUUUAGCGGUAGGUAUUCCAUUGUAUACAAUAAUAUGUUUGUGUUAUGCUAGGAACCCUGUUUCCCCUUUUUGUCUUUUUGUGCACUCAGAAAACAAGCCACUCUAAUUGAAGCUUUCUAUCUUCAGAUCACCAGCAAUAAUCUCAUCAAGGUCCCAGGAGGAAUCAUGAGGAUUCACUGCCGAAUUGGUAUGUACUUAUGCUUUUGCAAAAAGCCCUUUUCUUGCCAUUUUUCUGUUUUAGAAUUGGGACCAAAAUGAUUAUGAGUGAUUUUGAAAAACACUAAAAGGUCGUACCCAGUGCACAAGGCUCCCGCUUUACGCAGGGUCUGGAAGAGGUGAAAAAAUGGCUAUCAAGUAAGCAGGUUGUGAGUAUUCAAACAUAUAAUUUUCAGUCAAAUGAAAUAGUUGGCACCACAAGCUUUUAAGUAGGGAGGGAUGUUUGAUUAUAUAUUUUUUGGUUUUUAUUUUUUCUCCUCAGUUGUUAUUUUCCUUUUACUGUAUAUUGUAUCUUCUGUUUGCGAAUGCCUCUGUUUUUUUACUUGCUGAGAAUGCCUGUCAUGGGUGGCUCAACAGGACCGGGAAAUCUGGAGAGGGGCAAGGGGUUAGCAGAGGGGGGAUUGGGCAUGUAGCAUCAGGGCUAGGUUACCAAGAUGGUGUUUGGGUGGGUUUGGCAGUGGGUCAUAUGGGGGAGGGUGGUGAUGCACUCCGAACUCACGAAGGUGCACAAACAUUACGAGUGCAUCACCAUAAAAAAAUUUCAUAUUUAAUUGUUAUACCCUUCACAGUAAAUAAUUUCCACAUCAGAGUUUUUUGAAACUUAGAAGACAUCGGAAACACGAUUCGCAUAGCAGACUAGCUUAUAGAUGAUAUAAUAGUCAGAUAACAAAGUUCUCAACUAAGGGUUCAGAGAGACUCAUUUCUAUGUCCAAUCAUGAAGCAUCUUUUGAUUUAAAGACCUUUUCUUUCUCCAAUUAUGCCUCUGUCAACACUUUUUGGUUUAAAUGCACUCAUUUAGUAUUCACAUUUAUCUGAUAGACCAGAUGAAAAAAAAGGAAAACAUGGAUUAUAUAUGCACGAAGGGCACCACAACAAAUUGUUUUGGAAUUUGAGUUUGGAUUGGAAUUUAAUUUCGAUAUACAAAAGCAUUCACCUUAAACACAGAGGAAUCAGAUGCUUGAGUUAAACAAUUAGCUGAUCACAAAUUGGUAUUCUUUCGGUAUUCUUUCUUCUGAUUUUUCUUAUAAAAGACCAUGCUUAGCAAAGAAAGGAGCCAAAUUUAUCUCCCUGUACAAUGGGUGACCAAAACUUAGAAGCAACUGGUUUUUAUUUUCUUUAAUUAUAGAAGGCAGAUAGUAAUUCUUCAUUUUUUUUAAAAAAUAUUAAGAUAGUAGGACUUACAAGAUUUCUGUGAUGAGAUUUUACUUUUGUCCACGACUACAUCAUUUUAGAAUUGCAGUAGAUUAUUAUAUGGUUAACGGGUAAGUUUCUUAUACUAUUACAUACUUAUUCUCAUGGAACCACAGUUCUUCCUUCUCGACUUAUUUGCCAAAAUCUUUUCAGUUUCAGCAGCAGCGGUCACCACUCUUCCCCAAAGGUAAAUUUCUCCUCGCUUUCUUAGAUUCAGAAUCUUCAAAAUCCUCAUCUACAUCGUUUGAUUUCUGCAAUUUCGAUUCCACAGAAACAUGGACUUGCUUUGUUCUCUCUGCAGCGCUGCCCAUUUUCCACCAAAAUCACAUCUUAAACUCUUCCAAUUUCGAACAUGAGAUGCCCGGAGAUGGUCAGUACCCUCACUCAUACCCAAUUUACCCAAAAAUAAUUUUAAUAUCAGUGAUGGGUUCGUGUUCUCUCACAAAUUUGCUUUGUUGCUUCCCGCUUCGUUUGACUGCAUCUUCCUUUGUUUUAACUUUCGUUUUCGUUUUGCUUUGUGCUCUCUCGCCGUCAAACGAUGUUCUAUUUUUGUGAGAGUUGUUGUCUAAAACAUUUCUAAAUAUUUCUCUCUGUGUCUGAGUCUGGGAUUUGGGUCUAUUUUGAAGGCAUCUUCGCGUCUGUGAAGCUGAGGAGCAGAUUCGUGAGAUUGAGUAUUCUUCUAAACCCCUCUUUUUCGUUGAUGGGUUUUGUAUAUAUAUGGGUGAAUUUUUGUAUUUCAUUCUUCAGUUUAACUCCUUUAUUGUGAUGGUGUUACAUACAUAUAAUAUUGAAUUUCGUGGAGUAGACUAAUGCUUAGUAUUUGAUGUUGCUGUACCUUGAAUUUGUUUCAAGUUCUUUUAUAUAAGACUACCCCUUAUGAAGAAGUGAACUAAAUAGGGUGAUUCUUAUAUUUGCCAAGAUUUGGUUCCCCAUUAUUAGUUUUACAUGCAAUAAGAAUACUGUGGAUCAAAUUGUAGGUCCAAACGUCUCUUGAAUGAGAUGUAUAUACCUGAUGAAUUGCUUAAACAUGAUUUGGAUGGUAAACCUUUUGUUGAUAUACCAAGCUGCCCAGUUUUAGUGUUUGUUGCUUAUGUUUCUCAGGAAACAGAACAUUUUUUGCAGCUGUAUCUUUUGUAAUCAGCUCGAUUGAAUGUAUAUAAAAAUCAAACUGCUUAUCUUACUGACACCUUU